rnacentral:rRNA from 1 species
GGGUUGUGAGGUUAAGCGACUAAGCGUACACGGUGGAUGCCCUGGCAGUCAGAGGCGAUGAAGGACGUGCUAAUCUGCGAUAAGCGUCGGUAAGGUGAUAUGAACCGUUAUAACCGGCGAUUUCCGAAUGGGGAAACCCAGUGUGNNNNNNNNNNNUGUGAGCUCGAUGAGUAGGGCGGGACACGUGGUAUCCUGUCUGAAUAUGGGGGGACCAUCCUCCAAGGCUAAAUACUCCUGACUGACCGAUAGUGAACCAGUACCGUGAGGGAAAGGCGAAAAGAACCCCGGCGAGGGGAGUGAAAAAGAACCUGAAACCGUGUACGUACAAGCAGUGGGAGCACGCUUAGGCGUGUGACUGCGUACCUUUUGUAUAAUGGGUCAGCGACUUAUAUUCUGUAGCAAGGUUAACCGAAUAGGGGAGCCGAAGGGAAACCGAGUCUUAACUGGGCGUUAAGUUGCAGGGUAUAGACCCGAAACCCGGUGAUCUAGCCAUGGGCAGGUUGAAGGUUGGGUAACACUAACUGGAGGACCGAACCGACUAAUGUUGAAAAAUUAGCGGAUGACUUGUGGCUGGGGGUGAAAGGCCAAUCAAACCGGGAGAUAGCUGGUUCUCCCCGAAAGCUAUUUAGGUAGCGCCUCGUGAAUUCAUCUCCGGGGGUAGAGCACUGUUUCGGCAAGGGGGUCAUCCCGACUUACCAACCCGAUGCAAACUGCGAAUACCGGAGAAUGUUAUCACGGGAGACACACGGCGGGUGCUAACGUCCGUCGUGAAGAGGGAAACAACCCAGACCGCCAGCUAAGGUCCCAAAGUCAUGGUUAAGUGGGAAACGAUGUGGGAAGGCCCAGACAGCCAGGAUGUUGGCUUAGAAGCAGCCAUCAUUUAAAGAAAGCGUAAUAGCUCACUGGUCGAGUCGGCCUGCGCGGAAGAUGUAACGGGGCUAAACCAUGCACCGAAGCUGCGGCAGCGACGCUUAUGCGUUGUUGGGUAGGGGAGCGUUCUGUAAGCCUGUGAAGGUGUACUGUGAGGUAUGCUGGAGGUAUCAGAAGUGCGAAUGCUGACAUAAGUAACGAUAAAGCGGGUGAAAAGCCCGCUCGCCGGAAGACCAAGGGUUCCUGUCCAACGUUAAUCGGGGCAGGGUGAGUCGACCCCUAAGGCGAGGCCGAAAGGCGUAGUCGAUGGGAAACAGGUUAAUAUUCCUGUACUUGGUGUUACUGCGAAGGGGGGACGGAGAAGGCUAUGUUGGCCGGGCGACGGUUGUCCCGGUUUAAGCGUGUAGGCUGGUUUUCCAGGCAAAUCCGGAAAAUCAAGGCUGAGGCGUGAUGACGAGGCACUACGGUGCUGAAGCAACAAAUGCCCUGCUUCCAGGAAAAGCCUCUAAGCAUCAGGUAACAUCAAAUCGUACCCCAAACCGACACAGGUGGUCAGGUAGAGAAUACCAAGGCGCUUGAGAGAACUCGGGUGAAGGAACUAGGCAAAAUGGUGCCGUAACUUCGGGAGAAGGCACGCUGAUAUGUAGGUGAAGCGACUUGCUCGUGGAGCUGAAAUCAGUCGAAGAUACCAGCUGGCUGCAACUGUUUAUUAAAAACACAGCACUGUGCAAACACGAAAGUGGACGUAUACGGUGUGACGCCUGCCCGGUGCCGGAAGGUUAAUUGAUGGGGUCAGCGCAAGCGAAGCUCUUGAUCGAAGCCCCGGUAAACGGCGGCCGUAACUAUAACGGUCCUAAGGUAGCGAAAUUCCUUGUCGGGUAAGUUCCGACCUGCACGAAUGGCGUAAUGAUGGCCAGGCUGUCUCCACCCGAGACUCAGUGAAAUUGAACUCGCUGUGAAGAUGCAGUGUACCCGCGGCAAGACGGAAAGACCCCGUGAACCUUUACUAUAGCUUGACACUGAACAUUGAGCCUUGAUGUGUAGGAUAGGUGGGAGGCUUUGAAGUGUGGACGCCAGUCUGCAUGGAGCCGACCUUGAAAUACCACCCUUUAAUGUUUGAUGUUCUAACGUUGACCCGUAAUCCGGGUUGCGGACAGUGUCUGGUGGGUAGUUUGACUGGGGCGGUCUCCUCCUAAAGAGUAACGGAGGAGCACGAAGGUUGGCUAAUCCUGGUCGGACAUCAGGAGGUUAGUGCAAUGGCAUAAGCCAGCUUGACUGCGAGCGUGACGGCGCGAGCAGGUGCGAAAGCAGGUCAUAGUGAUCCGGUGGUUCUGAAUGGAAGGGCCAUCGCUCAACGGAUAAAAGGUACUCCGGGGAUAACAGGCUGAUACCGCCCAAGAGUUCAUAUCGACGGCGGUGUUUGGCACCUCGAUGUCGGCUCAUCACAUCCUGGGGCUGAAGUAGGUCCCAAGGGUAUGGCUGUUCGCCAUUUAAAGUGGUACGCGAGCUGGGUUUAGAACGUCGUGAGACAGUUCGGUCCCUAUCUGCCGUGGGCGCUGGAGAACUGAGGGGGGCUGCUCCUAGUACGAGAGGACCGGAGUGGACGCAUCACUGGUGUUCGGGUUGUCAUGCCAAUGGCACUGCCCGGUAGCUAAAUGCGGAAGAGAUAAGUGCUGAAAGCAUCUAAGCACGAAACUUGCCCCGAGAUGAGUUCUCCCUGACUCCUUGAGAGUCCUGAAGGAACGUUGAAGACGACGACGUUGAUAGGCCGGGUGUGUAAGCGCAGCGAUGCGUUGAGCUAACCGGUACUAAUGAACCGUGAGGCUUAACCUUACAACGCCGAAGCUGUU